ACUCCUACGGGAGGCAGCAGUGGGGAAUAUUGCACAAUGGGGGAAACCCUGAUGCAGCCAUGCCGCGUGUGUGAAGAAGGCCUUCGGGUUGUAAAGCACUUUCAGCGAGGAGGAAAGGGUGUGUGCUAAUACCAUACAUCUGUGACGUUACUCGCAGAAGAAGCACCGGCUAACUCCGUGCCAGCAGCCGCGGUAAUACGGAGGGUGCGAGCGUUAAUCGGAAUUACUGGGCGUAAAGCGCGUGUAGGUGGCUUGUUAAGCCAGAUGUGAAAGCCCCGGGCUCAACCUGGGAACUGCAUUUGGAACUGGCAGGCUAGAGUUUUGUAGAGGGUUGGUAGAAUUUCAGGUGUAGCGGUGAAAUGCAGUAGAGAUCUGAAGGAAUACCGGUGGCGAAGGCGACCACCUGGCCAAUAACUGACACUGAGACGCGAAGGCGUGGGUAG
rnacentral:rRNA from 1 species